UGGGGAAUAUUGGACAAUGGGCGAAAGCCUGAUCCAGCCAUGCCGCGUGUGUAAAGAAGGUCUUCGGAUUGUAAAGCACUUUAAGUUGGGAGGAAGGGCAGUAAGCGAAUACCUUGCUGUUUUGACGUUACCGACAGAAUAAGCACCGGCUAACUCUGUGCCAGCAGCCGCGGUAAUACAGAGGGUGCAAGCGUUAAUCGGAAUUACUGGGCGUAAAGCGCGCGUAGGUGGUUCGUUAAGUUGAAUGUGAAAGCCCCGGGCUCAACCUGGGAACUGCAUCCAAAACAGGCGAGCUAGAGUAGGGCAGAGGGUGGUGGAAUUUCCUGUGUAGCGGUGAAAUGCGUAGAUAUAGGAAGGAACACCAGUGGCGAAGGCGACCACCUGGGCUCAUACUGACACUGAGGUGCGAAAGCGUGGGGAGCAAACAGG
rnacentral:rRNA from 1 species